AGAAUGAACGCUGGCGGCGUGCUUAACACAUGCAAGUCGAACGGAAUACAAGGAGCUUGCUCCGAACUAUUUAGUGGCGAACGGGUGAGUAUCACGUGAGCAACCUGCCCCGAAGACUGGGAUAACACCGGGAAACCGGUGCUAAUACCGGAUGUCUUUCAAUGAUCGCAUGAUCGAUGAAAGAAAUGUUUUUUCGCUUUGGGAGGGGCUCGCGGUCCAUCAGCUUGUUGGCGGGGUAACGGCCUACCAAGGCGACGACGGGUAGCCGGCCUGAGAGGGCGACCGGCCACGACUGGGACUGAGACACGGCCCAGACUCCUACGGGAGGCAGCAGUGGGGAAUCUUGCGCAAUGGGCGAAAGCCUGACGCAGCAACGCCGCGUGGGGACGAAGGCCUUCUGGGUUGUAAACCCCUUUCAGCAGGGACGAUGAUGACGGUACCUGCAGAGAAGCCCGGCAACUACGUGCCAGCAGCCGC
rnacentral:rRNA from 1 species